rnacentral:lncRNA from 1 species
CCUUUCAGUGCCUGUCCUAGCAUAUUUGCUCUCUUGCCAAUCAAUACUAACAAACACCUGACGUAACUAUACUUUUUUAUCAAUGAGGCUACCAAGUGCUAUAUACUUCGUAGCAAAUCGUGUGACGUCUGAUCUCAAUAUAUCGCCUUCAAUAUACUACCGCAUCAAUGAUAGGACCCAUGUAUGGUUAUAAAUGAAUCUGGUGAUGCUCCAUGUUGACUCUACUGCCUUCUGCAUGCUACAAAUCUUUUCAAUAUCCAUUAACAUCAGAUCAAUACAAUGUGCAGCACGUGAGGUUCAGAAAAUAUGUGGUCGCUGCUCCAUCAACAACUCUCCUACAGCCUUAUACUAUGGUCUAUUAUCUGUGACAACCGGCACGACAUUCCGCUCUCCUAUCUGAUCAAUUAUCUCCUCCAUCAAUCUAAGGAUGUAUCUAGCAUCGUGCACCUCAGCUGAAGCAUCAAUAGACUUGUGAAAAAAUUUCUUCCAUCACAAUAUGUCAAGAAGUUGAUAAUGCUUCAUCAAGUAGGAUCAGUCCAACCAUCAUACAUCAUAGUCAAUCCAUACACAAGUCACUUGCUCUGAAAGGAAGCAAUCCACUUCUUUAAAUCCUUCUUAUUGCUAUCAAGAAGCUCACCAUGGAUAUCCCUUGAUCCUGGAGGUUUAACAUUUGGACCGACAGCCUGUAUAAAUGAAAUGGUAGUGC